AAGUCCCGCAACGAGCGCAACCCUUGUUCCUAGUUGCCAGCGGUUCGGCCGGGCACUCUAGGGAGACUGCCGGUGACAAACCGGAGGAAGGUGGGGAUGACGUCAAGUCCUCAUGGCCUUUAUGUCCAGGGCUACACACGUGCUACAAUGGCGCGUACAGAGGGAAGCCAAGCCGCGAGGUGGAGCAGACCCCAGAAAGCGCGUCGUAGUUCGGAUUGCAGUCUGCAACUCGACUGCAUGAAGUCGGAAUCGCUAGUAAUCGCGGAUCAGCAUGCCGCGGUGAAUACGUUCCCGGGCCUU
rnacentral:rRNA from 1 species